rnacentral:rRNA from 1 species
AACGAACGCUGGCGGCAUGCCUAACACAUGCAAGUCGAACGAGACCUUCGGGUCUAGUGGCGCACGGGUGCGUAACGCGUGGGAACCUGCCCUUAGGUUCGGAAUAACUCCCCGAAAGGGGUGCUAAUACCGGAUAAUGUCUUCGGACCAAAGAUUUAUCGCCUUUGGAUGGGCCCGCGUUGGAUUAGCUAGUUGGUAGGGUAAAAGCCUACCAAGGCGACGAUCCAUAGCUGGUCUGAGAGGAUGAUCAGCCACACUGGGACUGAGACACGGCCCAGACUCCUACGGGAGGCAGCAGUGGGGAAUAUGGGACAAUGGGCGAAAGCCUGAUCCAGCAAUGCCGCGGGAGUGAUGAAGGCCUUAGGGUUGUAAAGCUCUUUUACCCGGGAUGAUAAUGACAGGACCGGGAGAAUAAGCCCCGGCUAACUCCGU